rnacentral:sRNA from 1 species
UAAGUGUUCAACAGCGGCAGCCAAAUC